rnacentral:rRNA from 1 species
AUGCAAGUCGAACGCUGAAGCACAGCUUGCUGGUGUGGAUGAGUGGCGAACCGGUGAGUAAUACGUGAGUAACCUGCCCUUGACUCUGGGAUAACCCCGGGAAACUGGGUCUAAUACUGGAUGCUACAUGUCACCGCAUGGUGGUGUGUGGAAAGGGUUUACUGGUCUUGGAUGGGCUCACGGCCUAUCAGCUUGUUGGUGAGGUAAUGGCUCACCAAGGCGACGACGGGUAGCCGGCCUGAGAGGGUGACCGGCCACACUGGGACUGAGACACGGCCCAGACUCCUACGGGAGGCAGCAGUGGGGAAUAUUGCACAAUGGGCGAAAGCCUGAUGCAGCGACGCCGCGUGAGGGAUGACGGCCUUCGGGUUGUAAACCUCUUUCAGCAGGGAAGAAGCCACAAGUGACGGUACCUGCAGAAGAAGCGCCGGCUAACUACGUGCCAGCAGCCGCGGUAAUACGUAGGGCGCAAGCGUUGUCCGGAAUUAUUGGGCGUAAAGAGCUCGUAGGCGGUUUGUCGCGUCUGCUGUGAAAGCCCGGGGCUUAACCCCGGGUGUGCAGUGGGUACGGGCAGACUAGAGUGCAGUAGGGGAGACUGGAAUUCCUGGUGUAGCGGUGGAAUGCGCAGAUAUCAGGAGGAACACCGAUGGCGAAGGCAGGUCUCUGGGCUGUUACUGACGCUGAGGAGCGAAAGCAUGGGGAGCGAACAGGAUUAGAUACCCUGGUAGUCCAUGCCGU